CUAUGUAGAGGUCAGAAGCUUCUUCAGGGUCCUGUACAGAACACAGAAUGUCCUAAAAAUAAAAAAAUAAAAAUAAAAGGAAAAUGGAGCUGCCCUCACCUGAUGCCCAAAGGAGCAGCUAACCCUGGCACAGGUAAAGAGUACAGAACAUGUAAUAUCUCCCUGUACUGUAGGGGGCACUACCGGACACCAGUCAGUGCAUACGCUUCAGUAAUACAGGUAAAGAGUAGUACAGAACAUGUAAUACCUCCCUGUACUGUAGGGGGUGCUACCAGACACCAGUCAGUGCAGGCACUUUAGGAAUACAGGGGUUUUACCCGUGAAUGCCCAUUCUGAUAAGUUGGUUCUUCCAGCCAUUGACACGUUUCGCAGACUCCAUAGCAUUGUAUGUUGAGUCUGGUUUCAAGUUACAUUGGUCCAGAAAAGACCAUUGUAUGUUGAAACUAUUGUAUAUUGAGGCCAUUGUAAGUUGAGGAAUCACUGUAUAAGGAUAAGAGGGAUGUCUUUAUGCUGACCACUAUUCGUGGUAACGGCAGCUCACCUGUCCCUGUGUGAGGUACCACAACAACGGUCCUCAAGCCUGAUUGUAUUCUGGACUACAAUCAGUAUAUGGGGGGAGUUGAUCUUUCUGAUCACGUCCUCAAGCCAUACAUGGCCAUGCGGAAAACACAGGUAUGGUACAAAAAAGUUGCGGUCUACAUGGUACAGGUUGCCAUGUACAACUCUUUUGUACUGUACCGGAACACUGGCAGCACAGGGACAUACCUCCAGUUCCAAGAAGAAGUCCUAAAGGUCCUGAUCCUUGCUGACCGGGAAAGAGCAGGCCGGACUUCCCAAGAAACUGUUCUGGCUCCAUAGGCAGCUGUCUAGAAGCUUCAGGCCCCUGACUGCCCUCCGUGACCAGUGAGCAGAGCCAAUCUACACCCAGAUAUGAGAUCUAGGAAUGCAAAGUCAGUCUGAGCAGUUCCAGGCUAAGGAGAAAACUGCGGGAGAGAAAUUACCUGGUUAACUUAUGGCAUAAAUUAUGGGAGAAAUCUCAGAAGGACCUUUUUAGAGGAAGCUGUGACAAAAAGAUGGCGGUCUCUGCGUGAUCGAUUACGUAAAGAAUAUAACAAGCAUGGAGCUAGUGGUAGUGGAGCAACAACGCCUCAAAAAUACAAAUAUUUCCAGCAGCUGUUGUUUCUGGCCCCAGGCAGAGAGCUCAGACAAACAGAGACCAACAUGGAUUUUGUGUCCGAAGAAGAGGGGUUGCCUGACACACAAGAAACCCAGGAUGAACAGGGCACACAAACCACUACUGAUGAGGGCCAGUUAACUCCUGAGGAACACGAACCAUCCUCCAUUUUGGAUCAAAAUGAGACCAUGCCACAACCAGUUGUGGUGGAUUCCACAGAUGUAGGGGAAGAUGGUGAGGUUGAAGGGCCCAGUGGAAGCCAAGGCCCCAGGUCAACAUCCCCUCUUGUAGGCAGCAGAAGAAACAAAAACGGAACUUAUUCCAAGCGCCAGAUCCCUUGAGGUGGUCAGUUGUUUGGUUUCCCUUGACCUUUUUCUGUGAUGUUUUGAUGGUUUAAAGAUUACUGAAUGCUGCCAUAGAUCAUCUGACACAUACUAACUUAUCUCCUUUCAUGUGCAUCAUUGUUUUUACAUAAAAAAAGCAAUAAGGCUCUGU